rnacentral:rRNA from 1 species
GACAGAGGGUGCAAACGUUGUUCGGAAUUACUGGGCGUAAAGCGCGUGUAGGCGGCCAUCUAAGUCGGGCGUGAAAUCCCACGGCUCAACCGUGGAAGUGCACUCGAAACUGGAUGGCUAGAGUCCUGGAGAGGAAGGUGGAAUGCUUGGUGUAGAGGUGAAAUUCGUAGAUAUCAAGCGGAACACCGGUGGCGAAGGCGGCCUUCUCGGACAGUGACGUGACGCUGAGACGCGAAAGCGUGGGGA